rnacentral:misc_RNA from 1 species
UAAGAAUAGUUUGGGGG